rnacentral:lncRNA from 1 species
UCAAUACUUGACACUGGAAAAUUACAGCCUCUGUGACCCAGCAAAUCAUCACAACAUCCAAGUAUCAGUUUAUAAAACUGGUGUGACCACAACUGUUGGGGUCUGUUCAUCUUAGCCCUCUCUCUGUCUGGAAGGGAUAACUGCUUGAUUAGGCCAGCAAAAAUCUUUGACCCACAAAUAAGGGGCUAGAGUUGCCAGAUUUAGCAAACCAAAAAAUAGGCUUCCCAGUUAAAUUUUCAUUUCAGAUAAACAACAGAUGUGUUUUUAGUGCAAGUACAUGCUAAAUAGUAUGUGGUCAUAUUCAUACUAAAAUAUUAUUUGUUAAUAAAUAUUGACAUUCAAAGGUAACCAGCUGUUCUGGAUUUUAUCCGGCAACCCUAGUAGAAGCCACCUCUCUCAAAAGUUCCUUUCCAGGGCCAAUUACCUAAGGAAGGAGGUUGUCAUGGACCAAAUAUUUGUAUCCCUUCCCAAUUCAUAUGUUGAGGCUCUAAGCCCCAGUGUUACGGUGUUUGAAGAUGGAGACUUUGGGGAAUCCACAGGGUGAGAGGAUGUCAUGAGGGUGAGGCCCUCAUGAUGGGAUUAGUUCCUCAUCACAAAGAGAUACUAGAAAGAUUGCUCCUCUUCCUACAAAUACAAAGAAGAGGCCAUGUGAGCAGAGAAUGAGGUGGUGGCCUCCUACAAGCCAAGAGAAGAGGCUUCAAGAGAAAUCUUUCUGGUUAGCUGUUGACCUUGAACUUGCAAGCUUCUAAACCUGUGAGAAAUAAAUUCCUGUGUUUAAGCCACGCAGUCUAUGGUGUUCUGCCACAACAACCAAGGAGACAAAGGCAGAAGUACUAAAUACUUUGAUUUGUUCAGCAGCAGUUACCCUCAUCUCACUCAAAACCUUCAUCAAUGGUGGUACCAAGAUGUGCAGAUAACCAUUUUCCACCUAAAUUUCCUGGUCUUCAGAAUGUUUCCCGCAUAAGGGUAUCACACACAUUCCCUUUUCCUGCCUCACUUCAUAAAAAGUCCCUCCAGUCGGCUGCCCUCAGCUUCCAUACUUGUCCUGUGCCUUUCCUAAACUGGGUUCCAUUUUGCUUUUCCCCAGACCACGCUCUUCCGAUCCGGUGUUGUCACUGCUGUGGUGUGGAUUUGGUCCCUGGUCUUGGAAUUUCCACAAGCUGUGGGUGCAGCUUAAAUAAAACAACUCAGCAGAAGGAAAGAGGCUAGCACAGUCAACUUGGACUUGAAGGUCAGAGUUGGCUCAGGGGCUUGGGGUUCUCUAUCCAAUCCCCUAAUUUGCUAAAAUUGACUCUAAUCAGAGGUCAGAAAAAGGUCUAUUCUUGAAACUUAGUAACAUUUUCCAGUAGUGGUUGUAAGGAUGAAA